rnacentral:rRNA from 1 species
GACGUAGGAGGCGAGCGUUGUCCGGCUUCAUUGGGCGUAAAGAGCACGCAGGCGGUUUGGCAAGUCGGAUGUGAAAACCCGGAGCUCAACUCCGGACCUGCAUCCGAAACUGCCCGACUAGAGGUAGGUAGGGGAGAUCGGAAUUCCUGGUGUAGCGGUGAAAUGCGCAGAUAUCAGGAGGAACACCGGUGGCGAAGGCGGAUCUCUGGGCCUUACCUGACGCUCAGGUGCGAAAGCUAGGGGAGCGAACAGG